GUCUUAGCAAAGGAGCCUGCUUGCAGUUAGGAUUGAGAACUUCAUGGAGAGAAGGUUCAUCAUCCAUAGCUGGCGUGCGGUCAUGAGGUUGGAGUCCUCAUGAUGAGAUAAGUGCCCUUAUAAAAGAAAAUGCAGAGAGAUCCCUUGCUCUUUUUGCCAUGUGAAGACAAGAUGAGAAGUUAGUCAUUGGUGAACCAGGAAGCAGGCUCUCACCAGGCACUGAAUUUACCAGCAUCUUCUUCUUAAACUUUCCAUCCUCCAGAAUGGUGAGAAAUAAAUUUCUGUUGUUUAUGAGCCACCAGUCUAUAGUAUUCUUAAACAGCAGCUGAAACAGACUAAGACAAUAACUUAUCU
ensembl:lncRNA